rnacentral:rRNA from 1 species
GACGAACGCUGGCGGCGUGCCUAAUACAUGCAAGUCGAACGCAGUGGGGACGGGUGAGUAACACGUGGGUAACCUCCCAUCAUUGGGGAUAACACUUGGAAACAGGUGCUAAACCUCUAGUGAUGGAUGGACCCACGGGGCAUUAGCUAGUUGGUUAGGUAACGGCUCACCAAGGCCACGAUGCAUAGCCGACCUGAGAGGAUGAUCGGCCACACUGGGACUGAGACACGGCCCAGACUCCUACGGGAGGCAGCAGUAGGGAAUCUUCGGCAAUGGACGAAAGUCUGAUCGAGCAACGCCGCGUGAGUGAAGAAGGUUUUCGGAUCGUAAAACUCUGUUGUUAGAGAAGCGGUAUCUAACCAGAAAGCCACGGCUAACUACGUGCCAGCAGCCGCGGUAAUAC